rnacentral:rRNA from 1 species
ACUCCAAACCCCUGUGAACAUACCACUUGUUGCCUCGGCGGAUCAGCCCGCUCCCGGUAAAACGGGACGGCCCGCCAGAGGACCCCUAAACUCUGUUUCUAUAUGUAACUUCUGAGUAAAACCAUAAAUAAAUCAAAACUUUCAACAACGGAUCUCUUGGUUCUGGCAUCGAUGAAGAACGCAGCAAAAUGCGAUAAGUAAUGUGAAUUGCAGAAUUCAGUGAAUCAUCGAAUCUUUGAACGCACAUUGCGCCCGCCAGUAUUCUGGCGGGCAUGCCUGUUCGAGCGUCAUUUCAACCCUCAAGCACAGCUUGGUGUUGGGACUCGCGUUAAUUCGCGUUCCUCAAAUUGAUUGGCGGUCACGUCGAGCUUCCAUAGCGUAGUAGUAAAACCCUCGUUACUGGUAAUCGUCGCGGCCACGCCGUUAAACCCCAACUUCUGAAUGUGA